rnacentral:rRNA from 1 species
UACGAAGGGGGCUAGCGUUGCUCGGAAUCACUGGGCGUAAAGGGUGCGUAGGCGGGUCUUUAAGUCAGGGGUGAAAUCCUGGAGCUCAACUCCAGAACUGCCUUUGAUACUGAAGAUCUUGAGUUCGGGAGAGGUGAGUGGAACUGCGAGUGUAGAGGUGAAAAUUCGUAGAUAUUCGCAAGAACACCAGUGGCGAAGGCGGCUCACUGGCCCGAUACUGACGCUGAGGCACGAAAGCGUGGGGAGCAAAGCAGG